rnacentral:rRNA from 1 species
UACGUAGGGGGCAAGCGUUGUCCGGAAUCAUUGGGCGUAAAGAGCGUGUAGGCGGCCCGAUAAGUCCGCUGUGAAAGUCCAGGGCUCAACCCUGGAAUGCCGGUGGAUACUGUCGGGCUCGAAUCCGGAAGAGGUGAGUGGAAUUCCUGGUGUAGCGGUGAAAUGCGCAGAUAUCAGGAGGAACACCAAUUGCGAAGGCAGCUCGCUGGAACGUAACUGACGCUGAGACGCGAAAGCGUGGGGAGCAAACAGG